rnacentral:rRNA from 1 species
UACGGAGGGGGCUAGCGUUAUUCGGAAUUACUGGGCGUAAAGAGCACGUAGGCGGUAUAGUAGGUUGGAAGUGAAAGCCCAGGGCUUAACCCUGGAACUGCUUUCAAAACUGCUAAACUAGAGAUUGAUAGGGGAUAGCGGAAUUCCUAGUGUAGAGGUGAAAUUCUUAGAUAUUAGGAGGAACACCGGAGGCGAAGGCGGCUAUCUGGGUCAAGUCUGACGCUGAGGUGCGAAAGCGUGGGGAGCAAACAGG